rnacentral:rRNA from 1 species
AUUGAACGCUGGCGGCAUGCUUUACACAUGCAAGUCGAACGGUAACAGGCCGCAAGGUGCUGACGAGUGGCGAACGGGGGAGUAAUGCAUCGGAACGUGCCCCGUCGCGGGGGAUAACGCAGCGAAAGCUGUGCUAAAACCGCAUACGAUCUAGGGAUGAAACCUGGGGGCCGUAAGGUCUAGCGCGAUUUGAGCGUCCGAUGUCAGAUUAGGUAGUUGGUGGGGUAAAGGCUCACCAAGCCAACGAUCUGUAGCUGGUCUGAGAGGACGACCAGCCACACUGGGACUGAGACACGGCCCAAACUCCUACGGGAGGCAGCAGUGGGGAAAUUUGGACAAUGGGCGCAAGCCUGAUCCAGCAAUGCCGCGUGCAGGAAGAAGGCCUUCGGGUUGUAAACUGCUUUUGGACGGAACGAAAAGGUUUGGGUUAAUACCCUGGGCCGAUGACGGUACCGUAAGAAUAAGCACCGGCUAACUACGUGCCAGCCGCCGCGGUAA